rnacentral:rRNA from 1 species
UACGAAGGGGGCUAGCGUUGCUCGGAAUCACUGGGCGUAAAGCGCACGUAGGCGGAUUGCUAAGUCAGGGGUGAAAUCCUGGAGCUCAACUCCAGAACUGCCUUUGAUACUGGCGAUCUCGAGUCCGGGAGAGGUGAGUGGAACUGCGAGUGUAGAGGUGAAAUUCGUAGAUAUUCGCAAGAACACCAGUGGCGAAGGCGGCUCACUGGCCCGGUACUGACGCUGGAGGUGCGAAAGCGUGGGGAGCAAACAGG